UACGGAGGGUGCGAGCGUUAUCCGGAAUUACUGGGUUUAAAGGGUGCGUAGGCGGCUAUGUAAGUCAGGAGUGAAAGUUUGCGGCUCAACCGUAAAAUUGCUUUUGAUACUGCAUGGCUAGAAUUAGGAUGAGGUCAGCGGAAUGUGGCAUGUAGCGGUGAAAUGCAUAGAUAUGCCAUCGAACACCAAUUGCGAAGGCAGCUGGCUAGACCUGGAUUGACGCUGAGGCACGAAAGCGUGGGGAGCGAACAGG
rnacentral:rRNA from 1 species